UGGCCAUAUCAUGUUGAAACUACUUUUUCCUAUAUGAUCACUGAAGUUAAGCUACAUUGAACCUGGUCAGUACCUAGAUAGGUGACCACUUGGGGGAACCAGGUA